rnacentral:tRNA from 1 species
GCCUGGCUGACUCAGUUGGAAGAGCAUGAGACUCUUGAUCUCAGAGUCGUGAGUUUGAGCCCCAUGUUGAGUA